rnacentral:rRNA from 1 species
GAUGAACGCUGGCGGCGUGCCUAAUACAUGCAAGUCGAGCGAACAGAUGAGGAGCUUGCUCCUCUGACGUUAGCGGCGGACGGGUGAGUAACACGUGGAUAACCUACCUAUAAGACUGGGAUAACUUCGGGAAACCGGAGCUAGUACCGGAUAAUAUAUUGAACCGGAUGGUUCAAUAGUGAAAGACGGUUUUGCUGUCACUUAUAGAUGGAUCCGCGCCGCAUUAGCUAGUUGGUAAGGUAACGGCUUACCAAGGCAACGAUGCGUAGCCGACCUGAGAGGGUGAUCGGCCACACUGGAACUGAGACACGGUCCAGACUCCUACGGGAGGCAGCAGUAGGGAAUCUUCCGCAAUGGGCGAAAGCCUGACGGAGCAACGCCGCGUGAGUGAUGAAGGUCUUCGGAUCGUAAAACUCUGUUAUUAGGGAAGAACAAAUGUGUAAGUAACUAUGCACGUCUUGACGGUACCUAAUCAGAAAGCCACGGCUAACUACGUG